rnacentral:rRNA from 1 species
UACGUAGGUGGCAAGCGUUAUCCGGAAUUAUUGGGCGUAAAGGGUGCGCAGGCGGCUGUUUAAGUCCGUGGUAAAAGACUGAAGCUCAACUUCAGGAGGCCGCGGAAACUGGACGGCUAGAGUGCAGGAGAGGGUAGUGGAAUUCCAUGUGUAGCGGUAAAAUGCGUAGAUAUAUGGAGGAACACCAGUGGCGAAAGCGGCUACCUGGCCUGUAACUGACGCUCAUGCACGAAAGCGUGGGGAGCAAAUAGG